rnacentral:lncRNA from 1 species
GUAAUACUGGAGACAUUAGGUGAUGUGCCUCAAAUUUCACAGCUAGUAACCUUACAUCCCUGUUCAAAAUUCAAUGGUUCUUCUACAUUAGAGAUACAGCCUUUGGCCUGCCCCAUCACUCUUCUCACCCCAUCACUAGUCCCACCCUCUGCUGGCCCUACCCCUCUCUUGCCCCACCCUCUCUCUCGGGCCCCACCUUCUCACUGACCUGUCUUUUCAUUGGCCCUGCCCUUCCAAUGGCCCUACCCUCUUCCUGGCCCCACCUUAUCACUGACCCGCCUUUUCAUUGGACUUGCCCUCUCACUGGCCCCACCCUCUUGCUGGCCCCACCUUCUCACUGACCUGCCUUUUCAUUGGCCCUGCCUUCUCACUGGCCCCACCUUCUUGCUGGCCCCUCAGGUCCUUCCAUCCUCCCUCCUUGUGGUUGCAUGGCUUCCCACAUUCUGUGCCUCUGGUGGCACAGGGUUCCAGCACCAUCAUUAGCUGCGAGGGUGAUCCCUGCAAGUCCCCUGAGAUUCGAAAUUUACCUUCCUCCUCUGUGAAAUGAGAAGACUGGACUGGCGCCCUUCUAAGGAUGUCUGCUGGAGCAGUGUCUUCCGAUGAAGGUCCAGGGCUGCAUCCCAAACACCCCCACCGACAGCUCAGCCAACAGGACGGAUCACGACUGAAACAGAUGUUCUUGCUCCCCCGGCCAAAAAGUUGGAGUCCCUCCCUGGAGAUGAGACACUUCCCUUUGACACCAGAAGCACCUUCCUGAUUUCAUCAGAUGAGAUACUUGUUUGGGGAAUGACCCCAAUGUCUUGCCUUAAGCAAACAAAUAAAAUGUUUGAAUUUAGUGAGGGCAUGAACCCGAUAUGUAAAAUGUAGAGUUAGGAAAAUUAUAUUGUAUAGAAAAUAGCACAUUAUUUCCCUGGUGAGCCAGCAACCUCCCAAAAUAAUUGUGUAAAACAGAGGAUAAAAAGAGCUCAGCAAGAAACCCUUAUGUCCUCGAGAAGGCAACCAAAUUGGAGAAUGAGGUUUAGUAUACGGUAUUUCUCAACAAGAACUGUAAAACUGAAUUAAAACCUGAAAGCAAUGAUAAAACUCUUACUAAAAUAUGUAGUCCAUGCAUUUCUUCUGUGUGAUUCUUCCGUGCGAUUCUUUAGAACUGAA